CAACUCGGAGAAGGGACUAGAAUCUCAUAGUAACGCAAAGCAGGCUAUAUCUCACCAUCUUAUACCAGCUGAGGAUGAUGACGACGAUUCUGAUGUUGAUCUUUUUGGAGAGGAGACAGAGGAGGAAAAGAAGGCUGCAGAAGAACGUGCAGCGGCUGUCAAAGCCUCUGACAAAAAGAAAUAUCCGGAAAGUCUUCAAUUUUGUUGGAUGUGAAUCCAUGGGAUGAAGAGACAGAUGUGGCAAAGCUUGAGGAAACCGUGAGGAAUGUCCAGAUGGAAGGCCUCUCAUGGGGAAUGUGUAAGUAUCUUCUCUCAAAUAAUUGAUUCUGUCAAAACAUCUUACCUUCCUCUUAAUGUACUUAUGCUUCUCUCCUAUUUCUAUCACAACCAAACUUGUCGCAGUUGGAUAUGGUAUCAAGAAGUUGCAAAUUAUGAUAUAUGAUAUUUUUGGUCAUGUAAAAAAAAUCUAUCAUUUUAUUUUCUCUAGUUGCGCAAUACACUUUCAUAC